rnacentral:lncRNA from 1 species
AUUGAGCUGCUUGGUCGAAGAUUUGCUUCUGUUUCCCGUACACAACAACAAUCAUUGUAUCCAUGUACUUCAGAUGGCCUACAAACCGAGAUAUUAUAACCUAGCCUCAGUGCCCGGCACUGUAGAUCACAAUACCGUCCACAAUUUCUAAUUGGUCCCUUACAUAAGACAUUUGGACUGUACGCGUUUGUUUGUUCUGCAAAAUGAUAAAGAUAAGUUAGAAAGUAAUAUAUUGUGUAGAAUAUAUAUAUAUAUAUAUAUAAUACUUACCUGUAAUGACCAACAACAAAAUUAUUGCGAUGGUACAAACAAGAAUUAAAGAUCUGGCCUUGUCCAUGUUUUUGAAGUAUUUAUUGGUUUGUAUAACGUGUUGUAAAUAUUUUCUUUUGUUUUGGUGUUGAUGAAUUUGGUUGAGAUCUAAUAGGUCUUUAUAUAGCUAAUUGGUGAUAUGAGUUCCUAGCUAAGAUAAAUUGGAUACAGUACCAAAUUUAUUCUUCUUGAAAUUUUGACUAGAAAUGAAUUCUUGAAAAUUGGACUAGAGCUUUAUUACCAAGUAAGUUUGGUCUAAAAUUAAAUUUAGGACAGACUAUAUGUACUAUUUGAUCUGGCAUAUAGUAAAUUUGGUAGAAAAAUUAUUCAAAUGAUAUAAGACUUUGACUAUUUGUAUGGAAAUAAUUAAAAAAUUACAACAAUAAAUUAAAACACAUGUAUAGUAAAUCUAUCGCUAAAUGAAAAUUAUUCAAAUGAUAUAAGAAUUUUCGACAUAAACUACGUAUUUCUCAUCUGAAAAGAUGACGUAUUUCUAAUAUUAAAUUUAAACUAAACAUUAUUCACAUUAUUCAUUUUUAUUUAGUGAUAAAAAUACGAGUAUGUGUUGAUAUAUUUAAUAUAUGUAAAAAUUUAAUUUGGCAUCUAGAGAGUUUUUCCUAUCAGUUUACAUUUGAUAUGUUUUUUUAGUUUUUGUUCUAAUCUUAAAUGUCUUUUAUGAUACUUGUAUGAUAUCUACUAAAAAUAUCUUGAUAUCUUUUGAAAACUUUUUGCAUUUAAUGAUUCCGAUUGGUAACACUGUGUAGUAGUAUAAUGGUGAAAAAUAUAAUUAAGCUGUAAAAUGAUUAAUGAAAAAUUGCGGAAUGAUUGAUAAAAAAUUAUGGAAUGAAAAAAUUUGGUGUGAUUGGAAAAGUUUCGUUGAAACAUGGAAUAUAAGUUUCCAAUGAAAUUCCUACGUGGGUUUGCUUUUCCCUUGAAGUUUAUAUCCACUUUUUAAAACGUUUGUAUCCUGGGUAAUUUUUGAUAAUACAGUCGAGAUUUACUUAGUUACAAAAAUAAUAAAAAGAAUUUUUAAUAGCAUAAUUUAAAUCGUCUGGACUGAGACUUAUUUAAUUUAAUAAAUUACGGUAAGUUGAAUUCCUUAAUUAAAACUUCACAAGAGGAGAAAGUUGAAAUCAGCUAAAUGAAUAAAGAGCAAAGAAGAAGAAGAACAGAGAAUCAUUUCUAGAUGAAGAAGAUGAAUCAAUGACAAGAAGAAGCAAAGUCAACGAUGGGAAAAGAAGAAGUCUAAGAAGACUUGUGUUGUGACUAGAGAUCAUGACAAAACUUAGUUAGUUAAGAAGCAAUAAGCCAUUAGUUUGGUUAUGCAAAUAAGAAAGAGUGUUUUGUUGGUUAAAGCUAGCUAAGAACUAAAGUAGAGUGGUUAGGAGUUGUCGAGAGUUGUUAAUUAGUGUAUAACUUUGCUUGUAAAACUAGUCUAGUAACUAGAGGCAAGGAGUAAUGGUAGUAGUUAAUCUACUAUAAGUAUGUGUGUGUGAUGUUAUGGAAAGUAUCGAUUGAUCCAUCUAUGAAAAUGUAGUCAUUAAAGCUUUUUCUCUCUAAAGUUCAUCUUGUUAUCACUUAUAAAAACCAAACACCAAACAAAGAGUGAAACAGAGACCUAGAGAGAAUGAGAGUAUGAGAGAAAAAGAGAGUGAGAGAUCUAAAGAAGAGAAACAAAGAGAAUGAGAGAAAGAGAGUAAGAACCUGAGUGUUCAAAGACAAAUAGAGAAUGUGAGAAUGUCAACAGUUAAGCUAGCAUCCAUGCCGGUUAGAUACUUGGGCUUGCCUCUCAUGCAUCGGAAACUGAGAAGACUGACAUAUCUACUCUCUUUGACAAAAUCAAUGCCAAACUUAACUCCUGGUCUGCGAGAUGUCUGUCUUUCUCAGGAAGACUGCAGCUUCUCUCGUCGGUUAUUUAUGGGCUUGUCAACUUCUGGUUAUCGGCAUUUAUGUUGCCUAAAGGCAGCCUCAAGCGCAUUGAAAUGAUUUGUAAUGUUUUUCUCUGGUCUGCGGAUUCUUCUAAGCGUGGAGCAUCGAAAAUUUGUUGGAAGACUUGCUGCUUACCAAAGUGUCUUCGGGAUUUUCGCGUGUGGAAUCAGGUUCUGAACCUUAAACUCAUUUGGAUUCUAUUCAAUAGCAGUGGUUCUGUUUGGGUCGCUUGGACUAAGGCUCAUAUGUUAAAGGAAGACUGCUUUUGGGGAACUACAGCUAAACAACACUGCUCUUGGAUUUGGAAUGCAAUUCUCUCUCUAAGGCCCCUUGCCAAAAACCUAAUUGAGUGCGAUAUUAGAAAUGGCAGGUCUGCAAGUUUUUGGUUCGAUUCUUGGACCAGUCUAGGUGAUGCAACCAUGAUAACAGCAAUCACAUCUUUGAUCUAUCAACAAAUGAUCCAAUUCAAAUCAAGCCCAAAAUCUCAAGAAAUUUCUAUAAAAAAAUCAGAUCAUGGAUAUAUCAAGAAGUUGUCUAGAUACAAAAUAUUCAUCUCCAUUAAAUCUGAUAGCUAAAUUUGUGGAAGAAGACCAUAAAGUUAAUUUAGCUGAUUUUUCUCCUCUUUUUAUUUAAAUUGUGCAUAAUUUUCUCUUGUAAUUAAUUUCUUUGACUUUGAAGGUCUUGUAAAUGAGCCUAUAAAACCUCAUCACUUGUCAUUGUAAAAAUAUAUACAGAUUUUUGGAAAAAAUAAAAAGAAAGAAUUUUCUCUCUAAAGCUUAGGCUUUGUUUUUGUUUAUCUAAGUAAGGUGGGAUUCCUUUACUUAGUAAACAUUAAAUCUAUGUCUCUUGUGUGAGAUACCUUGAGACUAGGUUUGUGAACUCAUCACAAGGGCUUUCACACCCUUGAGUGGCGUUCUUCGAUCCACCAUCAUCGUUCUAUCAAUCCGCUGCUUGAAGAUCUGUUUAUCCGAAGUCAUAUAAGUCAUUGACAGCUCUGUGCUUGUAUCAUUUUGGUAUCAGAGCUAAAAGCUCCUAUCCAUCAGGUUGUAUCCAUCCAAUCUUAUUUAUCUAUCAAUCAGAGGUUUAAAGAUUUGUUCAUCUGAAUCAUAUAAGCCCUUGACAGCUUGGUGCUUGUAUCAUUUUUGGUGUUCUUCCAACCUCUAUUAUUUUUAUUUUCUUUUGUUUUAUUAAAAAAAAAAAACUAAAUCCACAAAAUUGUUUUGUUUUGUUUUCUGAAUAUUUUUUUCAUUUGAAAAUUUAAAAAAAAAGAGAAAUUUGCAGUUUAUUUAUUUAUUUUGUUUAAAAAAAAAUCAUAAAAAUUCCAAAAGAAAUUGUUUUCACUUUGUUUCGUUUUUAUGAAUUCAAAAAAAAAAACAAAAGUAAAAUUUUCAACUAUUUUUAAAUUAUCCUAAAAAAAACAAAAAGUUUCUGUUAUUUUUAAAUUAUUUUCAUCAUUAAAAAAAAGUUUUGUUAUAAUUAUUUCACUCUGUUUUCUUAAUUCAAAAAAAAAAAAAUGUCAAAACCAAGGCCACAACAUCACCAAGUUGAAACGGUUUUGAGGACAAAACAUUUUGAAGGAGAGAAUGAUGCAACCAUGAUAACAGCAAUCACAUUUUUGAUCUAUCAACAAAUGAUCCAAUUCAAAUCAAGCCCAAAAUCUCAAGAAAUUUCUAUAAGAAAAUUAGACCAUGGAUAUAUCAAGAAGUUGUCUAGAUACAAAGUAUUCAUCUCCAUUAAAUCUGAUAGCUAAAUUUGUGGAAGAAGACCAUAAAGUUAAUUUAGCUGAUUUUUCUCCUCUUUUUAUUUAAAUUGUGCAUAAUUUUCUCUUGUAAUUAAUUUCUUUGACUUUGAAGGUCUUGUAAAUGAGCCUAUAAAACCUCAUCACUUGUCAUUGUAAAAAUAUAUACAGAUUUUUGGAAAAAAUAGAAAGAAAGAGUUUUCUCUCUAAAGCUUAGGCUUUGUUUUUGUUUAUCUAAGUAAGGUGGGAUUCUUUUACUUAGUAAACAUUAAAUCUAUGUCUCUUGUGUGAGAUACCUUGAGACUAGGUUUGUGAACUCAUCACAAGGGCUUUCACACCCUUGAGUGGCGUUCUUCGAUCCACCAUCAUCGUUCUAUCAAUCCGCUGCUUGAAGAUCUGUUUAUCCGAUGUCAUAUAAGUCAUUGACAGCUCUGUGCUUGUAUCACUAGGUCCUCUCAUUGAGAUCACUGGCCCUGAGGGUCCUAGCAAAAUGGGCAUUCCUCUUCACUCGUCUGUGACUGAUGCUUGCUCUCACAACCGCUGGACUCUCCCUUCAGCCAGGACAAGGGACCCAUCUCUUUUGGCUAUCUGAAACUCCAUUAUUGAUCUUCCAAUCCCGAACCCUGCUCAGGGCGAGGAUGUGUUUCUUUGGGGUGCUGAAGGUUCAAGGACCGCCAACUUCAGCACAAGCAGAACCUGGGACAUCCUUAGACCGCGAGAGGAUAUAAAAAUCUGGUGGAAAGCGGUGUGGUUUAAGCGAGCUACUCCGAAACAUGCCUUCACUUUUUGGACGGCAAACUAUGACAGACUUCCUCUGAAAACAAAGAUGGUCAGAUGGGGUAUCAAUAUCUCUUCCAUUUGCAGUCUUUGUGAUAGAGAGGAUGAGACCAGAGACCAUUUGUUCUUCCACUGCUCUUAUUCAGAUGCCGUGUGGAGCAAGUGCCUCCGACGAUUAGGAUCUUCUACCAUCUCCUUCUCUAAUUGGCAGUCCAUGGUCACUUGGUCGCUGCAGGUCACACCAAGGUCCUCCUCUACUCUGAAGAAACUGGUGGCUCAGGCUACAAUCUACUUACUUUGGCGCGAGCGUAACAAACGACAUCAUGACGGCCUACCAUCCUCUGCAAAUCAGUUCUUCGACUAACUGGAUAGACUGAUCAGAGACACUCUUCUGGCGCACCGAUCCCGGCAUAACUGCAGGGGUCUUCUUUCUCUCUGGUUCAAGUACCACUACUUCUCCUUGCUCCGUUGUAACCUCUAAUUUGAUCUAUUCCAAAGCCUUUUUCUUUUUUUUAGGCUAUUGGAAUAACUGCUAAUGUAAUAUGUAAACCCUCAAGUUCCAUAGGUAAUAUAAUUUAAAUUUUAUAUAUAAAAAAAAACAGUUAAGCAUCCAUUACCGAGAUAAAUUCUGGCAAGAAAAAAAAUUCUAAAGUGAAGUCUACUCAAAUCCCUAAAUUUUUGUGAAACGGCGAUUUCGUACCAAAGUAUGUCGUCCCCAUUUAUCCUGAAACAGUAGCUUGUGUAUUUUGUAAGGAGUCUAUUGAGACAUAGAACCAUCUGUUCUUCACAUUUACUCGCAUGGAGAACAGAAAACCACUCACUCAAAACUUUCUGGCUUUGAAGUAUACAAAAAAUUAAGCCGACACUCUUGUUUUCUUUGUCGAUAAAUCACAAGCCAAGGCUCCAAGCUGUGGUUGUUUCUCUGGUGAUAAUCUUUUCAGAUAACAAUUCACUCCAUUUUGUGAGAGAGGAACGACAUAAGAUAUGGUGACCCCACUAUUCACCCUCCUCAACGCACCAGGAACAAAGACAAACAAAUCCACAACAGAUUGUCGUUGAUUCGAAGUAGUGGGUGAUGCCAGAUACAACAAAGAGAUGCAGCUUUGGUUUGAUACUCAAUGAAAUCUUUACACUCUUUUUUCUAGCUUUAAACUAGCAAUAGAC